ACCGCGGUAGCCCAGUUGAUAAGUUAGUGUGGCGUUUGUCUGAAGUACAGAUGCCUAAGGUUGCAGGUUCAAAUCCUGCCUGCGGUG